rnacentral:rRNA from 1 species
GGCGGCGUGCUAAUACAUGCAAGUCGAGCGAACAGACGAGGAGCUUGCUCCUCUGACGUUAGCGGCGGACGGGUGAGUAACACGUGGAUAACCUACCUAUAAGACUGGGAUAACUUCGGGAAACCGGAGCUAAUACCGGAUAAUAUAUUGAACCGCAUGGUUCAAUAGUGAAAGACGGUUUGCUGUCACUUAUAGAUGGAUCCGCGCCGCAUAGCUGUUGGUAAGGUAACGCCUUACCAAGGCAACGAUGCGUAGCCGACCUGAGAGGGUGAUCGGCCACACUGGAACUGAGACACGGUCCAGACUCCUACGGGAGGCAGCAGUAGGGAAUCUUCCGCAAUGGGCGAAAGCCUGACGGAGCAACGCCGCGUGAGUGAUGAAGGUCUUCGGAUCGUAAAACUCUGUUAUUAGGGAAGAACAAAUGUGUAAGUAACUAUGCACGUCUUGACGGUACCUAAUCAGAAAGCCACGGCUAACUACGUGCCAGCAGCCGCGGUAAUACGUAGGUGGCAAGCGUUAUCCGGAAUUAUUGGGCGUAAAGCGCGCGUAGGCGGUUUUUUAAGUCUGAUGUGAAAGCCCACGGCUCAACCGUGGAGGGUCAUUGGAAACUGGAAAACUUGAGUGCAGAAGAGGAAAGUGGAAUUCCAUGUGUAGCGGUGAAAUGCGCAGAGAUAUGGAGGAACACCAGUGGCGAAGGCGACUUUCUGGUCUGUAACUGACGCUGAUGUGCGAAAGCAUGGGGAUCAAACAGGAUUAGAUACCCUGGUAGUCCACGCCGUAAACGAUGAGUGCUAAGUGUUAGGGGGUUUCCGCCCCUUAGUGCUGCAGCUAACGCAUUAAGCACUCCGCCUGGGGAGUACGA